AACGCACGAGACCUGCGGACCUGCGGAGGGAUCAUUACAAGUGACCCCGGUCUAACCACCGGGAUGUUCAUAACCCUUUGUUGUCCGACUCUGUUGCCUCCGGGGCGACCCUGCCUUCGGGCGGGGGCUCCGGGUGGACACUUCAAACUCUUGCGUAACUUUGCAGUCUGAGUAAACUUAAUUAAUAAAUUAAAACUUUCAACAACGGAUCUCU
rnacentral:misc_RNA from 1 species